AUGCAGUAAGCUUCAAUUUGAGAAAUUCUCUUGGUGGCAGAAGCACAGCCUCAUUGAGAUGUGAUCCACGGCUGGAGGAGGAGAGCCCUGCCGAAGCUUCCAAGAAUCUCCCAAGUGUGAUUCCCUCUAUGCCCACUGCCAACUGACUGUGCCUCUGUGGUUGCACUCGAUGCCCAAACACUAAACGUUCCUGCUUUCUGCUCCCCAUUGUGGCUCUGGGCCGAGUCAUUAGGAGACGUCUGUGAGUAAAAGCAUGUCCUUUGUCUACACUACAUUCUGGGAUGACAGCGCUAUCAAAACAGAAGGGAAAAGCACCUCUGUCUUUGUUUCUCUGAAGAACAACACACAUGAUAUUAUAGAUGCUCGUGUUAUGAAUCUUCAUACAAUGAUACAGUACAUUCAGUGCCCUUGAUUGUGUUUAAUCCUCCAAACAUCCUUUUGAAAUAUUAUUCCCAUUUUUGAAAGAUGAAAUUGAGGCUCAGCACUGCCAAGUGACUCAUCUGAGUUCAUUUAGCUGUGAAUGGCACCGUGACACCUUGAACUCAGGAUUUUUGCCUCCUUGCUCUAUGUCCCAGCUGCCUCAACUUGUUAAUUUCUAUGAAGCCUGGAUUUACUUUGGUCCUGAUUCUUUGGAAUAUUAAAUGCACAUUCUUUG